CCUACGGGAGGCAGCAGUGAGGAAUAUUGGUCAAUGGGCGCGAGCCUGAACCAGCCAAGUAGCGUGAAGGAUGACUGCCCUACGGGUUGUAAACUUCUUUUAUAAAGGAAUAAAGUGAGGCACGUGUGCCUGUUUGUAUGUACUUUAUGAAUAAGGAUCGGAUAACUCCGUGCCAGCAGCCGCGGGAAUACGGAGGAUACGAGCGUUGUCCGGGUUUAUUGGGGUUAAAGGGAGCGUAGAUGGGGUGUUAAGUCAGUUGUGAAAGUUUGCGGAUCAACCGUAAAAUUGCAGUUGAUACUGGCAGUCUUGAGUACAGUUGAGGUAGGCGGAAUUCGUGGUGUAGCGGUGAAAUGCUUAGAUAUCACGAAGAACUCCGAUUGCGAAGGCAGCUUACUAAACUGCCACUGACAUUGAUGCUCGAAAGUGUGGGUAUCAAACAGGAUUAGAUACCCCUGUAGUC
rnacentral:rRNA from 1 species